rnacentral:snRNA from 1 species
CCUCGUUCGGUGAAAUUGUC